UGGGGAAUCAUGGUCAAUGGGCGAAAGCCUGAACCUGCGACGCCGCGUGGAUGAAGAAGGCCGAAAGGUUGUAAAGUUCAGUAAGCAGGGAAGAAUAAGCAACGGGUAAUAUUCGUUGUGAUGACGGUACCUGCCUAAAGCCCCGGCUAACUACGUGCCAGCAGCCGCGGUAAUACGUAUGGGGCAAGCGUUGUUCGGAAUUAUUGGGCGUAAAGGGCGUCUAGGCGGGGGAUUAAGUUAGAUGUGAAAGCUAUGGGCUCAACCCAUAAACUGCAUCUAAGACUGGUUCUCUUGAGUCCGGGAGAGGAGAGCGGAAUUCCAGGUGUAGCGGUGAAAUGCGUAGAUAUCUGGAAGAACACCAGUGGCGAAGGCGGCUCUCUGGCCUAGGACUGACGCUGAAGCGCGAAAGCGUGGGGAGCGAACA
rnacentral:rRNA from 1 species